GAAAAGUUUUAUAAACAGAAUACAAUCAAUUCUGAUGAUCAACAUUAUUAUAAUGAAAAGAAGUAAACUAUUUACAUAAGAAAUUUAGAGAAAUAAAGUUUAAAUAAAGAAAAAUGAUAAAAAUAGCUCAAUAAAUUGUAAAUUAACAGCAAAUUGAUAUAAAUACAAAAUGGUUUAUGAAAACAAAUAAUCAAAACAAAAAACUGCAAUAGUAAGACAACGCUGUCCAAAAACAGUAGCAGCGCGAUUGACGUCGCUACUGUUUGUGGCCAAUGCUCACAAUUAUAAAUAGUAACGGCGAUGUCGUCACAUUUGAAUAUGCGCUAAAUUUCAAAGGAUAAUAGGUUUCUGUACGACUCCACUGAUUUUCUACGGAGAAACUAAAAAGUCAAUGAAAAAUUGAAUUAAUGCAUAAUAAAGGAAUGAAAAAGUUAGAAAGGUACAAAAUUUUUGAGAAUUUUUGCAUGACCUUGAAAUUUUUCACAAAGCACAAUACAUGGCGUGGAGUCCCUCAGACGCCACUUCUACAACGGUGGGUUAAAAAACAGAGAGGUAGUAUAAUAUAUAGGAAUAGGGACGUAUACUGUUGUAUGAUUAAUAUUGUGUUAUAUAUAUCUGAGUUUGUCCAUUCUCAUGAGAAUUAGAGUAUAUUGUUGUUAGAGUUAUUGAAACUCUAGUGGUCUGGAAACUUGAGCUGAUGACCUGUUGUUAAGAAAAGCUUAUGAAAGAUCAAGCAAUCUAAACUUUUCCGAUAAAAAUUAUUUAUUAAUACAUUAUACUUUAAAACCAAUUAAUUUCCACUCAUUAUAAUUGUGGCUGUGAUGAAUGAUUUAUGAUUUGAUUUUAUUUUCUGAUAAAGAUUUGCC
rnacentral:lncRNA from 1 species